rnacentral:rRNA from 1 species
UACGUAGGGGGCGAGCGUUAUCCGGAAUUAUUGGGCGUAAAGAGUACGUAGGUGGUUAUGUAAGCGUGGGGUGAAAGGCAAUGGCUCAACCAUUGUUAGCCUUACGAACUGCAUGGCUUGAGUGCAGGAGAGGAAAGCGGAAUUCCUAGUGUAGCGGUGAAAUGCGUAGAUAUUAGGAGGAACACCAGUGGCGAAGGCGGCUUUCUGGACUGUAACUGACACUGAGGCAUGAAAGCGUGGGUAGCAAACAGG